rnacentral:lncRNA from 1 species
UUUCCAAUUGCUAAAUCUACUUUCUUAAUACUAAGUUUUUAUAAAACAUAAAUUAAUUAUAAUAUUCUUAAUCAUACUUAAUUUUUUAUUUUAAUAAAUUGAAGUUCUAAAAAAUUAUACGCCAAAAUUUCAGAUUUAUCAACCUUUCGUAGCGAAUUUUUAAUUACAAUAGUGAUAUUAAAUAAUAAAUAUAUGUGUGUCACUACUCACACUAAAAUAUGCUCUAAAGUACGUGGUGGUAUGGACGAGACUCCAAAACUCUACAUCUUUCAAGUUCUUAUGCGAUCUUCUCCUCAAAAGAAACAAAACAAAGAAAAGAAAAUAAACAAAAAGAACCAAAAUAAAAAGGUGAAAGAAGAACAAAAAUAAGAAAACAACUAGGUUAUACCCCAACAAGUGCUUAAUUUAACGGACGUAGCAAUCUGGCUAAUACGAAGAGAGGCAGGAAACUCAUGCGCAUCAUUCACUCUAAAAGUGAUGUCUCCAUUCGUCACAUCUAUCAGAGCUUGCCCCGUAACUAGAAACAAUCAACCAAGGAUCAACGGAGG